rnacentral:misc_RNA from 1 species
UAAAAAUUGAAAAUUGCUGCGUAAAAGAGCUCAAGAUCUCCUACAUCUGUUUUUUAAAUGAAUUUUGUGUUGCGUAAUUUAUGGUCGAUCCCUAAACUGUUAAACUUCCGUUUGUGAAAUCAUUUACUAUAUAAGCUAAAGGCAUACAGAAAAUCUAAGGUAUUGAACCUUUUGGUUAUAUUGGAGAAGCCGUUCCGACCGAUCCGGAUAACUCGACAACAAAUUCGAGGCCAGAAAUCUCUAGAAGAGAAGUUUUAAACCCAGAGGGCAUUGAGACAUUGAGAGGUUUAUCAACGGGCAUUGUAACCGAUUUGUUCAGUUCGGAAACAAAGUUAAGCAUGCCAAUCUUUAACAAAGAAAUUGCAAACCCAAAGGUUCAAAAACGAGAUGCGAAUAGCUAUCGGCUGUUUAAAGAAAUAGAUAACUAUAAAAAGAAUUUCCAGCGUGCUUGAACAAAUUAGGAAAAUGGGUUGUAAAGAUUGGAAAAUCAAAGAGUUUAUCACCUUUUACUACAUUUAUCACCUUAUAUUAGAUUUAUCACUUUAUAUUAAAAUUUAUUUGAUAUUGAUUUUUAAAUUCAUUACUUUCCAUUUUUUAAUUUGCAUUG